rnacentral:rRNA from 1 species
CAAUAGCGUAUAUUAAAGUUGUUGCAGUUAAAAAGCUCGUAGUUGAAUUUCUGUCAGGAGUGACCGGGCCUUUGGAUGAACUUCCAUUGUUUUUUGCUCUGUUUGUCAUCUCUAGACAUCCUGAAAUAUUUUUUAAAAAUAUUUCUCUUUUACUGUUAGCAAAAUAGAGUGUUCCAAGCAAAGCGUAGUUUUGAAUACAUUAGAAUGGAAUAAUAAGAUAGGACUUUGGUGCUAUUUUGUUGGUUUGCACACCAAGGUAAUGAUUAAUAGGGACAGUUGGGGGUAUUCGUAUUUAAUUGUCAGAGGUGAAAUUCUUGGAUUUAUGAAAGACGAACUACUGCGAAAGCAUUUACCAAGGAUGUCUUCAUUAA